rfam:Salmo salar isolate Sally breed double haploid chromosome ssa24, whole genome shotgun sequence.
UCCUGUCUAGCUCAGUUGGUAGGGCAUGGUGCUUGCAGCGCCAGGGUUGUGGGUUCGAUUCCCACGGGGAA